AUUGAACGCUGGCGGCAUGCCUUACACAUGCAAGUCGAACGGUAACGGGCCUUCGGGUGCCGACGAGUGGCGAACGGGUGAGUAAUGUAUCGGAACGUACCUUUCAGUGGGGGAUAACGUAGCGAAAGUUACGCUAAUACCGCAUAUUCUGUGAGCAGGAAAGCAGGGGAUCGCAAGACCUUGCGCUGAUUGAGCGGCCGAUAUCAGAUUAGCUAGUUGGUGAGGUAAAGGCUCACCAAGGCGACGAUCUGUAGCGGGUCUGAGAGGAUGAUCCGCCACACUGGAACUGAGACACGGUCCAGACUCCUACGGGAGGCAGCAGUGGGGAAUUUUGGACAAUGGGGGCAACCCUGAUCCAGCCAUGCCGCGUGAGUGAAGAAGGCCUCGGUUGUAAG
rnacentral:rRNA from 1 species